UCUAGAUAGAAAAAAUUGUUUUACUUUUGACAAAUACUUAUAUGUUUUAAAUCAUAAUAAUUAUUAUUAUUGUAUAAUAUAAUAAUAGAAAGGUUGAAAUCAAUACUAAUAUUGACCUAGGUCAGGGCCACCAAAUAAUGACAUUAUAUUAUGGCCUGGCUAUGUUCAAAUUUUCUUGAAAUAUAUCCUAUUAAGUAGCUAUUUAUUUAAAUGUUUAAUAAACUACUAAAAUAAUAAAAAAUCUACUUAAAAACGUAUUAUACAUGUGUAGAUGCAAUAAGGCAUGCAUUUGGCAUGUGCAUGUGUAUAUAUAAACAGGUUAUGACGAUAUUUUAUUGAAUUUUUUUUCUGACCGUUAAAUGACUGGAGAAAACGUUUAGUUUACCUAAUAUCGUCUUCCCCGCAGUGAGGAAAUAUUGAGUUAUAUAUAUAGUUCUUAUAAUAUAUUUCACUCAAUAUUUAAUUUAUAUUUAUAAUAGAAUAAAUAAGUUAGGUAUCCAUACAUAACUAACGUAAAAACAAAAGAAUAAGUGUAUUUGCUUAUUUUUCACCGCAUAGUUUCCGCUUGUCGAUUUGUCGUUUUCGUUAUGUUUGGUAGACAAAUUAGGUUUUCACGACAAAUUUUUGUCAAAGUCGAAAUCAGAUGGUAGAAUCUAUGAGGAAUCGAGGAAACUCCUCAAAUGUUAAAGGCAAACAUAUAGUGAUUUAUGUAUUUUCUUUAACAAAUUAAAUAUAUACAUUUAAAAAAGUGACAUAUAAUAAGUGGAACUGCUGAUGUUGAUCCGAAUGGAACUCUUCAACGACGCAUAGUUCACGUUUGGCGAUUUGUCCUCUUCGCUGUGUUUAUUAAGCAAAUAAGAUUUUCAAAAAAAGUUGUUUAAUUAAAUUGUACGACGGCCAAAAUCAAUAAUAUUUUUUUUAAUACAGUUGCUCAAAAAGUGGUACUUUUUGUGGCUGCGUAGCGUGCGAGAAGCUCAAUUUCUCGAACUAGUGCUUUUUUCUUUUUAGUUCCAAACUAUACUUUCGAAACGCAGUAAUUUUAUAUUAGAUUUUUUACUUGGAAAUUAUGAAAUUAAAAACGCUUACGAAUACUAGGAGUAUUUAUUUAAAGUAUUCAUUAAUAUAUAAAUGACGAAAAAAUAUUAAGAAUUUGCAUUUUAUAGCCUACUCUGUCUUAGGUAUCUAUGUAUGAAAUAUUUACUUUCCUAAAAAUCGUUCUUUGAUUUGGCUGAAUGAUACAAGCAUAGGUAUGCCUAGAAAAAAAAGUUUAAAAGCAAAUCAGCCCGCCCUUUUGAAAUAACUUCUAACAUUAUUUAAACACAUUAACGCAUAUAAAUAUAUAAUUUGGUACGAGAAGUUAUAAAAAAAUAUUGAAAAUGAGUGAUUCAGACAUUGAUAUGACACCACCAGACAUUCGUGCUAGAGCAGCAAUUGCCAAUGACUGUGUUAUUCCAGAAAAAUCUAAAAACCAAUAUAAUGCCGUCUAUGUAAAAUUUAUCGAGUGGAAAACCUUACAUGACGCAAAGUCUUUUUCAGAGACUGUUUUGAUGGCCUAUUUUCAAGAGCUGUCUGAAACCUAUCGGCCAACAACAUUAUGGUCAAAAUAUUCUAUGUUGAAAGCUGUUAUAAAGUUAAAACAUGACAUAGAUAUAAAAACUUACACCAGAUUGACUGCUUUCUUAAAAAAGGCAAAGUGCAGGAUUUCAGAGUAAAAAAUCGAAGGUACUAACAGCUGAACAAAUUGAGACGUUUAUUAAUGAAGCUCCAGAUCAGCAACAUCUAGCUACAAAGGUUGCUCUUAUAUUUGGAGUCUGUGGCGCAUGCAGACGCGAAGAGCUCACAAAUGUAUCAGUAAAAGAUAUAGAAACACAUGGGGACAUACUUCUUGUCAAAAUACCAAAUACAAAAAAUAAAAUUCCCAGGUCCUUCACUAUUGACGGCCCAUUUGCAGAAAUAGU